rnacentral:lncRNA from 1 species
CAGAAGCAGUUCUCUCCUCAAGAGAACUUAGAGUCUGUAGCAUAUACCUAAUACUGCUGAAAAUAAACAGCAAAAUAACAAAUAAUAAUAAUGAUCAGCAAGAAGAAGAGAGUACCAAUUUUACCCUUAAGUCAAGAGAUUCCCCAAUUUUUUUUCAAAUUUCAGUGAGGCAUUCCAGAGUACAAUUUACAGCUGAAGUAUUUAUAAAAUGGUAUCUAUGUUUUCUGUUCCUGAUACAUGUAUGUUUCUCUCUAGGUACAAUGAAACUAGGAUCUUCCUCUUUUUUAAUUCCGAGGCAGGUAAUAUGUAAAUAACGAGAAGAAGUUGGAGACACUGAGUAUAUCAGCAGAUACACCUGAUUCUUUAUAUAAAAAAGAGAACUGUCUUGGAAGAGGAAAGCCCUAUUCAGUACUGACAUCUUGUGCCAAAAUAAAGCAGCCCUGAGACUGGACCACAAGUAUGCCAGAUUUUUCAAGUCCUCAUUUGGAAGACUGCAGAGAAAUACCCCUGCACAUUUUUCAAUAUCCCCUCCAUAGCCAGUGGAAUCAGAGGUGUCAGAGAAGAUUUUAUUUUGUCAGCAUAAUCUUGAAUGCUGAUGAUAUGUAUGAAAACAGUAAUCUAGUUACAUGUCAACUGUUGGAAGUUUUGUUGGAAGAUUUGCAACUACAAAACAUCUUUUUACUUGAAACUUAUAUUUCAUUCAAAAACCAUUUCUGCCCAAUAAACAAGAAAUACCCUGAUGUCGUUUUGUAGUCACUUUUCAGAGCAUAGCAGUUAAUCUAACUCUACAGUUACACUGUUACUGUGUAUUAAAAAAUGUAUGUGAUGUUCAGAUACCUGCAAUAUAGACCUAGGGUUAUCUUAAACUUGGCAUUUUUAUGUCUUUUAAAGCUGCCAUGCUGUAAACUGCACGCAAUCCAGUAAAAAAUCCUGUUUUCUUUCCUUUAAAUACAGUUGAUCACUAUUUCAGGAAUAUUUACCACAUCAGCAUUUAUCAUUGUACAGGAUCCCAGUAGGCAAAGUACUCUGCAACAAUGUCUAAGAGGGUCUCUGCCUCUCAAAAUAGGGUACCUAGUUCAUCUUUCCUGCUGGUGAGAUAAAAUUCUUACUCCACUGUUUUAUGACUGAUUUUACUUAUCUCCAGCUAUGCAAAUGCCACAUUUUUGCAUGUUUUGCAAAACCUGUUGACGCCCCAUCCUGAAUCAAUCAACAGCAAACCUGAAUAUUUCACCUCUGUGAAACAGUCUCUGUUAUUAUCAUAAAAAUCACAUGGGCAACAGUAGGCUGGCAGUCUAUGUUUGAUGUUUCUCCUCCCUGCAGCAGAUAAUAUAUGUGCAUAAUUGCUCAAGUGCCAUCUGGUUGCAACUUAAGAUGUGUUGCUCAUUGAUAAUGAAAGCACUGAUUUGGUCCCCACACAUAAAAUGGAAGUCUGUUUAACACAAGCAUGCAUGAUUUUGUAGGACCCUGAUAUAAAAAAAGAGCAAUGCCUUGUCAAAACCUUUUAAGAACUGUGUAUUUAAUAAUAGUUUUUGUAAAUAGACUGAAAAUAUGGCUGAAAGAGACGUGAUUGUUUUGGAAUUGAAAAGUUUAAUUGUUGCUAUGAGCAUGGAGUGGCAGCGUGAAGCUCCCAGCCCAUUUAAUCACACUAUAGGGCACCUAUAGGGCUUCCCUAGCAGAGAGGAGAGGGAAGAGUGAGGUUAAAAGGUGGUUGGGGCUCAGGCCAGAGUGCACUGCAGUAACUUGCAAAACUGUCCUUGACACCUGUGUGUAUGGCACUGCCCUGGUCUGCUCAAAACGUGAGGUGGUGUCAGAGCAAUUGGAAAAAAACCCAGGAAGAAGUGACAACUGAGCAAAAGUAUUAUUCAAAUGCAUGAAAGACUUGCAGAUAUGAGAAGAAAAACCCAUAAUAAUCCUUUUUUUCAUGUCCAUUGAUAGUGCAAAAAGUAAUGUGAUUAAACUGUGGCAAGCGAGAUUUACUUUAAAGCAGGGGAAACUCUUUAAUGAACAGGGAGUGACUGGCAGGGAUCUCUUGCCUGAAGCAGUUGUCAAGUGCCCAUUAACAAGGAGGCUCUAGAAGAGGUUGAACGCAUACCUGCCAAGAUAAGCUUAGCCCAUUCUGCCACGGGGCAGGGAGAUGAAAGAAUGACCUCUGAGAUCCUUCCAACCCCUGCUGUGGUCCUCUGUAUUCUGCAUAGUCUCCUCAUCUCUCAUGCCUCUGUAGCAACAUUUGUGCAUAACUUGUCAUUUCAAGGAGCAAUGCCCUUAGCAGUUCUUCCCUUUGACCGGUGUUUGAGAUGACAAAAAGGUGAAGUAUUAUGUAUUUGGUUUUUUGAAAUAAUUUUUAAAAUUUGCUUGUCUACCUGAUAAUGUUCAUUUUAAACACAUAUUAUUGCCAUUUCAAAUGUGUGCAAAAGUGAUAAGGGAGGUGACUAGCAGCUUAUUAUUAAUUUUCUGCUUUUAUUUUCGGGAGAUUAACAUUCUGGCAAGAAAUUUAAUUGGACUUUUGUUAAUUCUCACAGUGAUGCUUUGGUUUUUCCUUUUGGGACUGGAGAGAAAAGCCAGCAUCUGGUGUUUGAGGAUGCUAGGGACUUACACCAUAUUAUGUCUAAUAUCUCUACUGUGAAUAAACAAAAUGAAUAAUUAAGUGAAUAAUGAAGU